rnacentral:rRNA from 1 species
UACGUAGGGUGCAAGCGUUAAUCGGAAUUACUGGGCGUAAAGCGUGCGCAGGCGGUUAUGCAAGCCAGAUGUGAAAUCCCCGGGCUCAACCUGGGAACUGCAUUUGUGACUGCAUAGCUAGAGUACGGUAGAGGGGGAUGGAAUUCCGCGUGUAGCAGUGAAAUGCGUAGAUAUGCGGAGGAACACCGAUGGCGAAGGCAAUCCCCUGGGCCUGCACUGACGCUCAUGCACGAAAGCGUGGGGAGCAAACAGG